rnacentral:rRNA from 1 species
GACGAACGCUGGCGGCGUGCCUAAUACAUGCAAGUCGAACGCAGUGGGGACGGGUGAGUAACACGUGGGUAACCUCGCAUCAGAGGGGAUAACACUUGGAAACCGGUGCAAAACCGAGACUGAUGGAUGGACCAGCGGUGCACUGGCUAGUUGGUGAGGUAACGGCUCACCAAGGCCACGAUGCAUAGCCGACCGGGGAGGGUGAUCGGCCACACUGGGACUGAGACACGGCCCAGACUCCUACGGGAGGCAGCAGUAGGGAAUCUUCGGCAAUGGACGAAAGUCUGACCGAGCAACGCCGCGUGAGUGAAGAAGGUUUUCGGAUCGUAAAACUCUGUUGUUAGAGAAGCGGUAUCUAACCAGAAAGCCACGGCUAACUACGUGCCAGCCGCCGCGGUAAUAC